rnacentral:rRNA from 1 species
UACGUAGGGGGCUAGCGUUGUCCGGAAUCAUUGGGCGUAAAGCGCGCGUAGGCGGCCCUGUUAGUCCGCUGUAAAAGUCAAAGGCUCAACCUUUGAAUGCCGGUGGAUACUGCAGGGCUAGAGUCCGGAAGAGGCGAGUGGAAUUCCUGGUGUAGCGGUGGAAUGCGCAGAUAUCAGGAGGAACACCGGUGGCGAAAGGCGGUUCUCUGGGCCUGUACUGACGCUGGAGGAACGAAAGCGUGGGGAGCGAACGG